rnacentral:rRNA from 1 species
AUUGAACGCUGGCGGCAGGCCUAACACAUGCAAGUCGAGCGAGCGGCGCACAGGUGAGUAAUGUCUGGGAAACUGCCUGAUGGAGGGGGAUAACUACUGGAAACGGUAGCUAAUACCGCAUACCAUCAGAUGUGCCCAGAUGGGAUUAGCUGGUGGGUGGGGUAACGGCUCACCUAGGCGACGAUCCCUAGCUGGUCUGAGAGGAUGACCAGCCACACUGGAACUGAGACACGGUCCAGACUCCUACGGGAGGCAGCAGUGGGGAAUAUUGCACAAUGGGCGCAAGCCUGAUACAGCCAUGCCGCGUGUGUGAAGAAGGCCUUCGGGUUGUAAAGCACUUUCAGCGGGGAGGCGUUACCCGCAGAAGAAGCACCGGCUAACUCCGUGCCAGCAGCCGCGGUAAUUC